rnacentral:lncRNA from 1 species
CCAAAGUUCUAGAGUCUGGACGUCUGAGAUCAGGGUGCCAGCACUGUCGAGGUCACAGACUGCAGACCUCCUUGUAUCUUCAAAUGGAGGAAAGAGGACAAGAGAGCUCCUGUGGUCCCUUUUAUCAAGAUGAAUGCACAAGGAAAAUGUUGUACAUUUGCACAUUGGAGUACACUUCAGCCAUAAAAAGAAUGAGAUGCUGUCAUUUGCAACAACAGGCCUGAUAAUAUUGAACAUCCUUGCAUCCAUUAAAGUUUACUGUUCUAAGACUUACUUUAACCAAGGGUUGAUCCCAAGAGCACUUCAGGAGGCUGAGGCAGGAGAAUGGUGUGAAUCCAGGAGGCAGAGCUUGCAGUGAAUGGAGAUGCGCCACUGCACUCCAGCCUGGGCGACAGAGCGAGACUCCACCUCAAAAAACAAAAACAAAAACAAAAACAAAGCCUAUGGAAUUUUGUUCAUUUUUGCAAUGAAUUUAUAAAUCUAUGAAGAGAUAACUGACUUCUUAACAUUAUUGAAUCUUAUAAUUUAUUAACAUGUUAUAUAUGUCUUCAUUCAGUUAGAUCACCAUUAGUUUCUCUCAACAAGAGUAUUUUAGUUUUCAGUUUAUAGGUCUUCAAUGUUUCACUAAAAUUUCCCUUAAAUGUGCUAUGCUUUUAGAUGCUAAAAUAUGUGGUAUUAAAAUGAUCAUAAGUAGGAUUUAGUUAAUUUGAAUUUCUAAUUUUUCAUUAGUAGCAUAUUAAAAUUAAAUUGACGUUUGCUUACUUAUGAUCUUACUAAAUUCACUUUUUAUUUCUAGUA